UAUAAAACUCUUUAGUAAUACAAUGCAAUUGCAGACAGAGAUUCACAUACAGAAUACCUCAGUAGUCUAGAGUAAAGAUCUGUGUGGCGAAACAGGAGACAACCCUCCUUAUACUAGUUGGUGUGGACAACCUACCGUCAAUCAUUCCAUAACUUUGUGGCAUUGGAUUAGAUACAAAGUAUGUCAAUUGAGAAAAACAUGUCUAGAUUGUGGUUUCUCACUCUACUAUCUCGACCUUGAGCCCGAGUGACUAUCAGCAGGUGCAGAGAAAUCUCAGCCUGAGAACUAAAGCAGUACAACUCCAUUUACCCAGUACUUUUCCAUCAUUGCGCAUUGCAAGUAUACAAAGGUUAUCACAUAUAUACAGUAAUCAUGGCAUUGGGGUAGCCCCACACCUGACCCCCAGGGUAACCCCCAACAUUCCCCCCUUUGAGACUACCUAGUCUCAUAUAACCAUGUACAGAAAUCGACGUUAGACAUCUGGAACUUUAACCAUUCACAUAUAGGUAGUAUAGGAAUCAUCCUCUAGGUCAGUUGGGCAAGCAAGAGGGUCAUGGUUGGGGUCAACACCAGUGGCAUCAUAGUAUUCAUCAUAGGAGGCAGGUAAAGCCAAUACCAUUAAACCAGGCAUGGUCUUCUUCACUGCCCAUUUACCAAGACAACAACAAAUCUAAACACAACAAAAGUGUAUCAACACAAGAACUACAAAUGAUAAGAUAACCAUUAAAAUUUGGCCCUUAACAUUUCCAAAUAUCCCAGUGAGCCAUUCACCCAUCGUGGACAGAACACUCGUCACUAGGGCUGAGAGUAUUAGAGAGCUUGGACAUGUCAAGCAGGAUUUUGGUCCACAGGCCUGAUCUGUCUUUGCCAUUUCUCUACUCAUUGAACCAAACAACUCACUCAUGGAUUUGGGUUUAGACUAAAUUAACACCGCAGUCCCGUUUGGGGACACUUUUCCACCUAAGUCUCGAACAAACUUUACCCAAGUGUUGACAGGGCCGGCUUCACCCACACCAACAAGUAAUGUGGAUAGAGCCAACACAGUCAACCACCAAUGACCACAUGCUGUCAUCUUCCCUCUCUUAAACCCCCUAAGGGUUUGUUUAUUUACAACAUAACCUUGCUGAUCAUGUAAAACAGUUGGUUCUUCAGGGCUUUGGUCUUGCCCUUCAUCUUUUUCAAGUCUUUGGUCUCGACUCACAUCUGCUUCUGCAUCUUGUUUCAGGCUGUCUGGCUCCAUCAUCUCCUGUGGGCUGAGCACCUUCUGGCAGUGGGACAGGUGAAACAGCCGGAACUUUCUUGAACUCUGACCACCGUUGGUGUUGCCAUGGCUACCUUGAAUGGCCCCAUCCAUCUUGGCUGGUCUCAUUUUCUCUUGUGGACCCGGAUUUUGACUCAGUCUCCAACCUCCACAGGCAGGUAGUCUGGGUCCUCACCUGGUACCUCCUCCUGAGUUUUCCUAGUGUGACAGUGGAGAGAUCUGACAAUAGUAGUUAGCUCUUUCAUGUACUCCAAGUGUUCUACUUCAGCUAGAGUGAGGUCUAUUUGUCUGUCAGUCAUGGGUCUGUGUGCGGAAACAUUCAUGCGUCUUCCUGUCAACAUUUAGCCAUUAUUAACACUACUGUGCAUUUUCAUUAAUACUAGUGGUAAACAAUCCACCCAAGAUUUCUUGGUGGAGUGGUAUGCCUUAGCUAACCCUUGUUUAAUGGAUUGGUUAGCUCUCUCGGUAACCCCAUUACUCUGGCGGUGGUAGAGGGACACAAACUUCUGGUCCACUCCCAUCAUUAUGGCUACCUGGCUUCACUACAUCACCAGUGAAUUGAGUACCAUUGUCUGCACAUAAAACCUCAGGAACACCAAUUCUAGGUAUUAUCUCCCUCACAGGUAGCUUUGCUACUGUCUUAGCAUCACAGUGUGUGGUGGGAAAUGCCUCCACCCACCUGGCGAACCUGUCAGUAAGGACUAAACAGUACCUUUUCCUUUCUUUUCUUCCUACAAUAUCUAUGAAAUCCAUUGCAAGAUGGACAAAUGGUCCUCUUGGCGUAGGGAAAUUACCUGGUUUCAGAGGUGUUCCUUUGGCAAUGUUAAAUUGUACGUAGCACAUCGAAACAGAAACUGUUUCACAUGCUGAAUAAAAUUUGGGCAAAACCAAUCCAAAGAAAUUGCCUCUAUCAUAUCCUUCCUUGACAAAUGGGCCAUACCGUGGGCCACUUGGCAAACAGAGGCGAUAAGACAAGCUGGCGGACACGGUCUGUCUCCAAAUUUUAGAAACGGGGUCAAGUUUUACAACCCUGCUGUUGAGAACAAAUGAGAACCAACAUCCAAAGCCUGUUUAGAUGACAAAUCAUCAGUGUCUUUCCCAACAGUAGCAGAGAAGAACGUGAGUGGCUAUGCCACUUUGAGGCAGCCAAUUUAGCAGCCUCAUCUGGCAUAGUGUUACCCAUACUCAAAAAAUCUUCCAACCCAAUGUGAGCAGCAACCUUCACAAUAGCCAAAGCAGAGGGCAGCAUCAUAGCCUCCAAGAGAUCUAAAGCCAAAGUUCUAUUACAAAUAGGACUUCCACAAGCAUUGUGAAAACCCCUACUCCUCCAGACACCACACCAGGAGAGACAAACCACUAUUGCAUAAGCAGAAUCAGAGAAAAUUGUAACCCUUUUCCCUUCUCCCAUUUUACAGGCAGUGGUUAGCGCCAAAAGUUCAGCCUGUUGAGCUGAGAAAGCAUCUGGUAAUGGUUGUUGUAUGUGUGUGGUUCUAUCAAUGGUCACAAAACUAAACCCUGCAUGUUUCUUCCCUGUAGUUUGAUCUAUAUAUGCAGAAGCGUCAAUGAAAAGCUCCAAGUCAGCAUCAGUCAGGUUAGUGACAGAGAGGUCAGGCCCAGCCUUCAUUGGUUUGGGACAAACUGUCUCUGCACUGCCUUUGGUUGAAUUUGUCAUGGUGCCCCGUGAUUUUGUUUGAAUCAGGUUCUAUGUAAUGUGGACUGAGUGACUUAUCUGUAUGGUACUGUAGAAAAACUCAGUUCUAUCCCCGUAUACGGGUAGUAGAACCUAACAUAGGAUGAUCUACCCAAAGCAGUUCUAUUUUCUCUAACCCCUCUUCUUCUUCAGCUUAACAACGUUUAUUCAUUUACCACAUAUGUGUGGUAAAUAACCACAGUUGGUUUCAAUUGUAUUUUAACUUCAGUACGGGGGUCUCCCUGUCUCCUCUCUUGUGGAUGUAAUGGAAGAGUAAACUCACAACAUGUCUUUCCCAAUACGCAAUUCACAAAUGUAUCCCUUUCUUGUACUAGUAAUCCUACCCCCUACUUUUUCGAACAUUCUGUUAAAAAUCGCACAACAUUUCAGCGUCCUGCUACUCAUGCCAGGAAUAUAGUAUAUGCAUAUGAUUAGUAUGUGUGGAUAGAAAACACUCUGACGUUUCUAAAACUGGUUAAAUCACGGCUGUGACUAUAACAGAGCCUGCGUUUCAUCGAAAAGCGGAAGAAAAACGGAUCACUGAAAACUGGAAAAAGUAUCAAUGCGCCACUUGCAUGUAUUGUUGAAUGGAAACCAAAUUACCUGGAGCCGAGAUUGCAAUACCUACAGCUUCCACACGAUGUCACCAUUCUUGUCAAUUGCCUAGGUUUUGUUUCUUGGUCAAACGAACAAGAGACAGCCCAUUUCCUCAGGUCUCCGACAGGAUGUUUUGGAGUAGAAAUUUCUGAACAUGAUUUGAAGACGUGGAGCUAUUGAAUAUACAUCGCCCGUGAUCAAUUUGAUAGAUUAUUAACGUUUACUAAUACCUAAAGUUGCAUUACAAAAGUAUUUCAAAGUGUUUUGUGAAAGUUUAUCGUCGACUUUUUUAAUUUAAAAAAAUGACGUUGCGUUAUAAAACACUGUUUUUUCCUUGAUCACACAGUCUUCAUAGAUCGAUAUCUAGGCUAUAUAUGGACCGAUUUAAUCAUCCUAGAUGUUUAUGGGACAUCUAGGAGUGCCAACAAAGAAGAUCGUCAAAGGUAAUGAAUGUUUUAUAUUUUAUUUCUGCGUUUUGUGUAGCGCCGACUAUGCUAAUUAUUUUGUUUACGUCCCCUGCGGGUCUUUUGGGGUGUUGCAUGCUAUCAGAUAAUUGCUUCUCAUGCUUUCGCCGAAAAGCAUUUUAAAAAUCUGACUUGUUGGCUGGAUUCACAACGAGUGUAGCUUUAAUUCAGUACCCUGCAUGUGUGUUUUAAUGAACGUUUGAGUUUUAACGAGUGCUAUUAGCAUUUAGGUAGCGCAUUUGCAUUUCCAGAUGUCUAGAUGGGACGCAUGCGUCCCGGGUCGACCCAAGAGGUUAAAGACUUGUUGUCUAUACCAGUCUAGAUUUAUUUCAGUACAUAGAAAUUCUUGAUAUUGACGAGCAUAUUAUCUGUUAUCAAUACACUCAACUCAUACAACAAUUGUCCCACACCAAAUAUAUAACCCCACCAAUUAUACAUAUAUCAAAACAAUACCAAUGUCUUCCCUCAGGUAAGAACACCAGACAUAAAACCAGUGUAUUCCCUCAGGUAAGAACAGCAUACAUAAAACCAGUGUAUUCCCUCAGGUAAGAACACCAUACAUAAAACCAGUGUCUUCCCUCAGGUAAGAACACCAUACAUAAAACCAGUGUCUUCCCUCAGGUAAGAACACCAUACAUAAAACCAGUGUCCUCCCUCAGGUAAGAACACCAUACAUAAAACCAGUGUCCUCCCUCAGGUAAGAACACCAUACAUAAAACCAGUGUCCUCCCUCAGGUAAGAACACCAUACAUAAAACCAGUGUCCUCAAUCAGGUAAGAACACCAUACAUAAAACCAGUGUCCUCCCUCAGGUAAGAACACCAUACAUAAAACCAGUGUCCUCCCUCAGGUAAGAACAUCAUACGUAAAACCAGUGUCUUCCCUCAGGUAAGAACACCAUACAUAAAACCAGUGUCUUCCCUCAGGUAAGAACACCAUACAUAAAACCAGUGUCCUCCCUCAGGUAAGAACACCAUACAUAAAACCAGUGUCUUCCCUCAGGUAAGAACACCAUACAUAAAACCAGUGUCUUCCCUCAGGUAAGAACACCAUACAUAAAACCAGUGUCCUCCCUCAGGUAAGAACACCAUACAUAAAACCAGUGUCCUCCCUCAGGUAAGAACAUCAUACGUAAAACCAGUGUCUUCCCUCAGGUAAGAACACCAUACAUAAAACCAGUGUCUUCCCUCAGGUAAGAACACCAUACAUAAAACCAGUGUCCUCCCUCAGGUAAGAACACCAUACAUAAAACUAGUGUCUUCCCUCAGGUAAGAACACCACACAUAAAACAAGUGUCCUCCCUCAGGUAAGAACACCAUACAUAAAACCAGUGUCCUCCCUCAGGUAAGAACACCAUACAUAAAACCAGUGUCCUCACCCAGGUAAGAACACCAUACAUAAAACUAGUGUCCUCCCUCAGGUAAGAACACCAUACAUAAAACCAGUGUCUUCCCUCAGGUAAGAACACCAUACAUAAAACCAGUGUCCUCCCUCAGGUAAGAACACCAUACAUAAAACCAGUGUCCUCCCUCAGGUAAGAACACCAUACAUAAAACCAGUGUCCUCACCCAGGUAAGAACACCAUACAUAAAACUAGUGUCCUCCCUCAGGUAAGAACACCAUACAUAAAACCAGUGUCCUCACCCAGGUAAGAACACCAUACAUAAAACUAGUGUCCUCCCUCAGGUAAGAACACCAUA